rnacentral:rRNA from 1 species
UAAUACGGAGGGUGCAAGCGUUAUCCGGAUUUACUGGGUUUAAAGGGUGCGUAGGCGGACUUUUAAGUCAGGGGUGAAAUCCCGGGGCUCAACCCCGGAACUGCCUUUGAUACUAUUGGUCUUGAAUGUUGUGGAGGUGGGCGGAACGGGUCAUGUAGCGGUGAAAUGCAUAGAUAUGACCCGGAACACCGAUUGCGAAGGCAGCCCGCUACGCAACGAUUGACGCUGAGGCACGAAAGCGUGGGGAUCAAACAGGAUUAGAUACCCUGGUAGUCCACGCCCUAAACGAUGAUUACUGGACGUUGGCGAUAUGACCGAUCAGCGUCUUUCAAAGCGAAAGCAUUAAGUAAUCCACCUGGGAAGUACGUUCGCAAGAAUG